AGUGAACGCUGGCGGUAGGCCUAACACAUGCAAGUCGGACGGCAGCACAGUAAGGGCUUGCUCUUACGGGUGGCGAGUGGCGGACGGGUGAGGAAUACAUCGGAAUCUACUUUUUCGUGGGGGAUAACGUAGGGAAACUUACGCUAAUACCGCAUACGACCUACGGGUGAAAGCAGGGGAUCUUCGGACCUUGCGCGAUUGAAUGAGCCGAUGUCGGAUUAGCUAGUUGGCGGGGUAAAGGCCCACCAAGGCGACGAUCCGUAGCUGGUCUGAGAGGAUGAUCAGCCACACUGGAACUGAGACACGGUCCAGACUCCUACGGGAGGCAGCAGUGGGGAAUAUUGGACAAUGGGCGCAAGCCUGAUCCAGCCAUACCGCGUGGGUGAAGAAGGCCUUCGGGUUGUAAAGCCCUUUUGUUGGGAAAGAAAAGCAGCAGGUUAAUACCCCGCUGUUCUGACGGUACCCAAAGAAUAAGCACCGGCUAACUUCGUG
rnacentral:rRNA from 1 species